ACCUGAAUCAGUGUUAAGCUCUGUUUUUACCAUAACAAGAUGAAAAAAGUAGGCCCUCGGAUGUAUUACUAAUACUCCUCCAGAUUCAUAUUAUAAAGGAGUUCUCCUAACCAACCCAUCAGGGUGUGACUGGCAGGUGCUUCUGCGCAGCUGUUGCUCAUCAGUGAGCAAUCAACCUGGGCUUUAAGAGCAGUGGAAAACCAGAGGGAGGCGUCAGCUCGUUGUCUCACAUAGUGUGGUAAACAGCGAGACAUCUGCUACUCUGCAGUUAUUUCAACUGUUCUCGACCUUUUGUGUUUUCUCCUCUGCCUCUUAGGAAGACGUUUUUUUGUGCCUCCAGUUAAUUCUUGCCAUGUUCUCAAGAUCAAGAAAAUUCAAGCCUCGAUGUCUCGGCUGUGAGCCUCCACUCUGCUUCCUUCCUGGAUCCAGGUUUCUAGAGUUUUGGUUCUCCUGCUUCUGAGAACCUUCCACCUGGCUGUCCACCCUCCCAUGGUGAAUACCCCCUUUUUAUGGAAAGGAUCGAAAAGAGAGAAACACUGAGUCUGAAGAACCAGGAAGCACUUUGCCUUCAGCUGCACCCACCUGCCAACCUCAACCAUCGUGGAACAGACUUAUUCCUCCCAGGCUUAGCUGAGAGCUCUGCCUUCUGAGAUCCCAAUCCAUCCCACUGAUCCAGUCCUGGUUCCAGAUCACAAUUACUCCUGUAAAACCUAAUAAAUUGUUAAAACGCUGCCUUGGUUAACUCAUGGUUGUGUUAUUCAGAGUCUGGUGAAAACCCACUAUGACAUUAUGUUAUAUUGUGGCUUGAUAUACUAAUAAUUAUAAAUUUACCAUGCUGAUUUGCUAUGCAUUUAUUGUGGAUGAAUACAUUUUUUUUCAUGCAAUAAAAUGAAUACAUCUCUUUGCUUGAUAUUAUAUGUUGAGUAAAUAUUGCUACAUCAAUUAGAUUUGAGGUUUUGUACAUCUAAAUUUGAAAGCUGAGUUUCCUGUUAAAACAAAAAAAAAAACUGUUCUCAGAUUUUCCAGGUGAGUAAUAAUUUUAAUUAGUUUGCCUUGGUUUUAAAGCCACACAAAUUCACACCAGUUCAAGUUGCUGUAUAUUUAUGUUUUAAUAAACCUUUGAGGAACAUUCA